rnacentral:rRNA from 1 species
AGUGAACGCUGUCGGCGUGCCUAAUACAUGCAAGUCGAACGGAGUGGCGCACGGGUGUGAAAUCUAUAGCUAAUCUGCCCCUUGCUGGAGGACAACAGUUAGAAAUGACUGCUCAUACUCCAUAGCAAGGGAUGAGACUAUAUCGUAUCAGCUAGUCGGUGGGGUAACGGCCUACCGAGGCUAUGACACGUAACUGCUCUGCGAGGAUGAUCAGGCACAUGAGAACUGAGACACGUGGCAAACUCCUACGGGAGGAAGCAGUAGGGAAUAGUGCGCGAUGGGGGAAACACUGUGGCAGCAACGCAGCGGGGAGGAUGACACUUUUCGGAGCGUAAACUCCUUUUGUGAGGGAAGCGGUACCUAACGAAGAAGCACCGGCUAACUCCGUGCCAGAGCCGCGGUAAGUC